GGAAGGAUCAUUCAAAGAGAGAAGAUGGUUGGGGAGGCAGGCGAUUGCUAGCCGACCCUUCCUCUUUUUCAUUCAACCUGUGUUUUGUGAGUGGGUGUGAGUGAGUGAGUGGGUGUGGGUGAGUGAAUGGUGAGGUGGGUUGGAGUGAAGUGAGUUGUUCAAUUCGCUUCGCACCGCCUCAUCAUUCGCUUCGCUCAUCUCCUCCUCCUCCUCCUCCUCCAUGCUUUACAACCAUCACACACACCAUCCCUCUCACCGAGACUGAUCAUGCAAUGUGCAGUCAAUGCCUUGCGCUAAUUCAAACAGUAUCACACAACUGUUGGCAACGGAUCACUCGGCUCUCGUGUCGAUGAAGAGCGUAGCGAAUUGCGAAAAUUAAUGCGAUCUGCAACCAUCGUGAAUCAUUGAAUUCUUGAACGCACCUUGCACCUUUCGGGUACUCCGAAAGGUCUGCCUGGGUGAGUAUUGACUAGUUAACCUCGCUGCUUCUGAAAGGGGGCAACGGAUAUGGGUCGUCCGUUGGUGCUGUAUGGCACCGAUGGUGACCUUAAAUCAAUGGGAUCGUCGAAUGGAACGGUAGCGUUUCUUCAGGUUGUUCGGGAGGGUCACCUCUCGGGCAGCAUCCCGCCGCCCACACUUGCCGUGGAUACUUUCUGGUCGGACCUUGGUCGGGUCUGUAGCCAAACCAGCCUUGAAGGCAGGGGAAUGUAUCGGAAAUGGCCCGUGGAUGAUGGGAGAAGAAGCCGGGACCAAGGUCCACCGCCCACUCAACAUGAAGCGCGCUGAUAUGCUUCUCGCAUGCAUCACGCUCCUCCAUAGGACCACCAACCUCAUCAAUCUCACCUCAGGUAGGACUACCCGCUGAACUUAAGCAUAUCAAUAAGCGGAGGAAAAGAAACCAACCGGGAUUCCCCUAGUAACGGCGAGUGAAGCGGGAAGAGCUCAAAUUGGAAAUCGGGUCGUCCAUUCAGCGGCGGUCCCGACGUGUCAUUUGAUGAACCUUGUUCGGCGGCGGCCCGGGUCCAAGUCCUCUGGAAAGGGGCGUCAGGGAGGGUGAUAAUCCCGUCCAUGGCCCGUGAGCUAGUCUGUCAUCCUGUGAACGUGGUUCGGCGAGUCGAGUUGUUUGGGAAUGCAGCUCAAAGCGGGUGGUAAACUCCAUCUAAGGCUAAAUACUGGCGAGAGACCGAUAGCGAACAAGUACCGUGAGGGAAAGUUGAAAAGCACUCUGAAGAGAGAGUCAAACAGUACGUGAAAUUGCCAACAGGGAAACGAUGGGCGUCAGUACGCGCGCCGGUCGGGAUCAGGCGUGGUGUGCCGUGCCGGGCGAGCCGGGGUCAUGCUGUGGCGACACAGCGGGCAGGCUUGCUUUGGCGUGGUAUGCAGCGCUGUAUUCCCGGCCAGUGCGGGUCAACAUCGGUUGCCAUUUGCGCGGGUGAUAUGCGCCGGGGGAAGGUGCCAGUGGCUUCGCGGCCGCUGGUUUAUAGCCCCCGGAUUGCCAGCCUGCAGGCGACCGAGGAAACAGUCGCGGCCUGUGCUCCCUUCGGGGGGCGGGACCGGGCGGGUGCGUUGUCGGGACCGGUGGUGCAACAGCCUGGCUGAUGCGCCGCCCCAGCCCCGGCGGCUACGCCCGCACGCUCGUCACCCACAGGCCAAGGAUGUUGACGAAAUGGCGCUCAACGACCCGUCUUGAAACACGGACCAAGGAGUCUGACCAACGUGCGAGUAUUUGGGCGGUAAACCCGGAUGCGCAAUGAAAGUGACCUUGGCGGGAAGGGCGUUUUAACCGAGGCCCGGCACCGCCGACCGAUCCGCCAAUGCUGCCUCGCGGCGGCAUGGAUUUGAGUAGGAGCACAUUGGACAGGACCCGAAAGAUGGUGAACUAUGCCCGAGUAGGAUGAAGCCAGAGGAAACUCUGGUGGAGGUCCGCAGCGGUUCUAACGUGCAAAUUGAUCGUCAAACUUGGGUAUAGGGGCGAAAGACUAAUCGAACCAUCUAGUAGCUGGUUCCCGC
rnacentral:misc_RNA from 1 species